CCCAGGUGCCCCUCAUCCUUACACUCAUCACCAAAUCUAUCUCCUUUAAACCCAGGUUGGGUUUAGCUGCUUAUGCUGUGUCCAUGUGUUUGGUGUGAACGUUUUGCUGAUGGUUCCUGUUGUUGGUUCAGAUCAAGAAGUGCUGAAGUAUUGUCCCAGUCUCACCAGAUUUACAGGCUGAGGGUGCCAUAAGAUGAGGGUUCUCAGGUGUGACAUCUGGGCUGGAAGGCAACGUUGUGGAACUGUCUCCAUGUGCAUUAUUGUGUCUUCAGAUGACAUGGUGGCUUGUCUUCAUUUAAAUGGUCCCUGGAAGAAAGCAAAGCUGAAGCACUGAGCAUCUUAUAGAUUAGCUUGCAAUGGGCAUCUGUGGAUUUUAGGAAAGUCUCCAGGACUGGAAGGGUUAGCAAGGUGAGAACCCCAGAGCAAAAGACUGAGUCACUGCUGCCUGAAGUAUAAGUGGAAAGGAGAAGGGCAGAAAUGCCACCCGUACAACAAAACUAGUUUGCCAGGCAACUUGGUAUCAGACAGCACAACUUUUCUCCAAAUAGAUACAAAUGGACAGUGACGAAAGCAGUAGAUAAGGGACCAUAGGUUAAUGCUGUUAGAGUCUACUCUACCCUUGGGCAAUGGCAAAGACUGUGUUUGGUCAUGAAAUGCGGAGACGUCACCGCAUUCCAAGUGCUGUCUGCAAUUACGGAUGUCGUAGAUCUCUUGUGAGGACAUGUGUAAGGGGAAAUGUUUCCCAUAGCUGGAGAGAUUUCCAUGUAAAGAUUCCUUCUUGUCUUACUGCCCUGCGCCAAGGAAAACAGGGUGCUCGGGCAAGGGAAUCUCACAGCAGAAAGAAAUGAGUCCAUGAAUGAGCCCACUGUAGCACCCAUAAUGGGCAUGAAUGCAUACUGGUCCUGCCUGUGGGUGGGGGAACUGGAAAUGGGCACCGGACAUAGCCCUGCCCUUCAGCUGGCUGCUGUUGAUUCUGUCUCAAAAUAGAAGAAGGAGAAAGCUGUAACAAACUGCCAGGCUUGUCAGUACUGGAGGAAAGAAGAGAAAGAAAGAGAGGAUGGAAGGACAAAAAGAAACAAGGGCAGAAGGAGAGCACUACUCCUUAAAGAGAAGCUUACAUCAAUCCCUGUAUUUCCGAACCAAGACAGUCAAGUGUGAAAGUCACGAUGAGCAUUCAUUACCCCUGGCAACCUGUGGUGAUUAAUUCUCCCUGGCAGCAAUACAUAAGCUUAUGGCAAUGUCCAGCUUGUGGCUGGAGCUCUGCAUGCUGGAAUGCAGAGACACAAUAGGGCACAAAUACUUGCCUUAUAGGUGUUAAGGAAGUUGAAGAAGAUAAAAAACAGUGCCAUGGGAAACAGAGCAGUUAAGUGGGAAAGGUGAAACAACAAAUCAUUGGCAGAGAUUGCUCCUCCUGGCACCAAAGUUCAGUGCUGCAUCCGCAGGAGAAAUCACCUCUUCCAAGAAUGACAGAUACUCUCCAUCUAUUGUUUCAUAGCUCUUCAUCUUCCCUAUGGUGCCACAGGAACUCACCGCCAUAAAGUACUUUAUUAGCUUAGUCCUUAAAUGCUCCAGGAAGGGAAUCAACCUGGCUGAGCUCUCCCUACUACACUGAAGUAGCCCAAGAAAUGCUGAGUCUGGUUUAGUCUGACAACUCUAUAAGCUUUUUUUUCCACUACUGAAAAGAGGGAUGCUGGUAUUUAUGUAACAGCCUGAAAAGUGGAUUUUCUCACCACACUUUUUCACCCUUUGCAUUCGCAGCCCUUCCAGUUGUCUUCCUGGGAAAAAGCAAAGAAAAUACCCAGCCACCCAGAUAACAAUCCUAGUCUCUCAAACUCCUGCACCCUCUAGGAGACCCUGCUGUGUGCCUUGUGGCUUAGGGUCCUCAGACCAAAUCAGGGAUCUGAAUCUAGAUUGCAGUAGCAAAGGAUCUUCAAAGGGAAUGCCUGAUCUCUCACUCUGAUAGGCAUAGAAAUCCACUUAAGCGCCCUGCUACUCUCAGCUCUGGCUAUUGAGGCUGACAGAGAGGAAUGCUGUCUCAGAGUAUGCCCCUUGGCCACUCUUGAUCAAAGCCUGGAUCAAAGUCUGGCAGCUGGUAUCCAGAAGCAAACAAACAAAUGCACAGGUGAAGAAACGAGGAUCUGAAAUUUGCCCUUGGGUAGCCAACCUCCUAUAUCAACACUGUAAGUAUUCUCAACCAUUAAAUAAAAUUUGAGAAGAUAAAUCCCGAAUAUAAGAAAUUAAAAUCAAUAAACUCAGCGAGUCCUCCAUGUCACAGUUCAGACUCAUAAAGAGAUACAACCACUAAAUCCCUCCAGUGCUGCUCUUUCACAAUUGCACACAUUAAGAAAAGGGAGGAAAGAGUUAUAUGAAACAUUUGGCUGGGUAUAGGAAUCAGUUAUCUUAAUGAUGCAAUAUCAAAAGGAAAUAUAGUCUCAUUUAGAGAUCUACCAGCUACAGUCACUACAAUACUCCCCGAAGGAUGGUAACUAUUCUCACAGAUGCCUAGAAAUUAAGAAUUAUACUCUCGCUACAUUUAAUAUCCUAGCUGUACUUUCAAGGAUCAUCUAUCUUAGUAAAGCUUUGGGGAUCUAAUUCAAUUGCUUUCUGUCUGCCAUUGCUUAUUUAUAAAACACGUGUCCUUCUGAUGAUACUCAGUUCCAGUGGAUCUCCCAGAAGAUGGAAGAAGAACUUAAGUUAUUCAGUCUCCUGAGCGAUGAAAAAGAAAGAUUUGAUCUGCUCACCAUGCCUCUAUGACUGCAUCCUGUCCUUAACUGUCUUGUUUUGCAAUGCAAACAGCACACCUAAAAUGUGCAUUUUCCUCAUGCUGAUCCAGCCACGUGGUAGGACAGAGCCAUACUUGUCUUUAAUACUUUGUGCUGGUUGUUCUACUAAAAUGAACAGUGCAGAAGGAACAUCUCAUGUGUGUUACAUUUGUUUACUUGUGUGCAAACAAAGAAUAAUUUAUAUGAAAUUAUUAACAGUUGACGUUUAUGGGAUGACUUUACCAGGAACCCCAAAGUAACACCAAACUGAUAAGCUAUGCACAGACAGCUGAAAUGCAGCCUUUCCUCAACUGAGACAUUGUAGUGCUUGAGGACAUCAUAUGUAUGCGCUUAUGAUACAGUCAAAAUACCAGUGUAAUGUGUGAGAGUAGGGAAAAAAGAAGGACUCAGUGUAAAACUUCUCAGCAAAAAAUCUGUGG